rnacentral:rRNA from 1 species
UACGUAGGGUGCAAGCGUUAAUCGGAAUUACUGGGCGUAAAGCGUGCGCAGGCGGUUUUCUAAGACAGAUGUGAAAUCCCCGGGCUCAACCUGGGAACUGCAUUUGUGACUGUAGAGCUGGAGUGCGGCAGAGGGGGAUGGAAUUCCGCGUGUAGCAGUGAAAUGCGUAGAUAUGCGGAGGAACACCGAUGGCGAAGGCAAUCCCCUGGGCCUGCACUGACGCUCAUGCACGAAAGCGUGGGGAGCAAACAGG